CGGCGGAAAUCAACUUACAGGCUACUGUGAGUGCACUUUUUCGCAAGGCAGGUUAGCAUCGGUUUUGAUCGUGUUAAAAUGAUUGCAGGAAGGUAGCUCCUUUCGGAAGUGUUAUAGCCUGCUUUAGAUGACAUGGGCAAGACCGAGGAUUGCAGCGAAUGCCUUUUAGGUUACGGAUCUGGUCUCUGUGAAUGGUUAGUUAAUCUUGAGCUUGCUCAGGUGCAGUUAGCCUAUUUACAAUAGGUUCAGAAUCCGAUAAA
rnacentral:rRNA from 1 species